rnacentral:lncRNA from 1 species
CAGUGGCGCCUCUCCCUCCCUCCCUCUCUCUCUCCCUCCAUCCUCAUAAGGAGCACAGCUUUUAUAAUGACCUCAUUAUCUGCCCAGUCUGCACUCAGGGAAGACAGAGCCCUCCUCAUCCUGUCUUCUCUCCUCUGGCCCACCGGUCACCACUUCUCUCUUAAAGAGGGCCCGCCCGGUCUCCAACGUCUGGAUCUCCCACUUCCACCCCUGAGAGCUGUUGUCCUUCCUCUUAAAUCUCUGUUCAAGUCUAUUCCUUGGAAUCUCGUCUAA